rnacentral:rRNA from 1 species
UACGAAGGGGGGCGAGCGUUAUUCGGAAUCACUGGGCGUAAAGCGUGCGUAGGCUGUUCUGUAAGUUGGAAGUGAAAGCCCAGGGCUCAACCCUGGAAUUGCUUUCAAAACUACAGGACUCGAGUCCGGGAGAGGAUAGCGGAAUUCCCAGUGUAGUAGUGAAAUACGUAGAUAUUGGGAGGAACACCAGUGGCGCAAGCGGCUAUCUGGACCGGUACUGACGCUGAGGCACGAAAGCGUGGGGAUCAAACAGG